AAAAACCUCAAUGAAGAGAGAGAAAUUCUGUGCAGGACUGGGGUCAAUUUACGACAAAUACUUUAUAGCCAGGCUUGAAUCCUAUGCAGGCAGAGGAAAUUUUUAAGGAGUUGCUUAUAGUUUCACUCCCAUGAUAAUGGAUCCUUCUGGCAGCAAGGCAGAAGAAAUGUGCUUACUUCAUACUAUGCAGAAGACCCUGGAAACUCAGAUUCACCACCUGGCUCUGAAUACUGCAGAACUACAGUGCAAAAGGACAAUGAAAUAAACUGAGUGUUGUAGACUCUAUGGAUCACCAGUGAAGAACUCUGAAAAAAUCUUCAAGUUAAAACUGUUGUUGCCCCACUGGUCAGAAAUAGUAUACUGUAGAAAUAAAUCAACUACUAGGAAAACAGGUCAAAAUUAUAGAGUCCAAAACCAAAGGAAGAGAUAAUAGGGUAAUAUACUCAAGGAAAACGAAACAGUUCUUUAUGGAUUCUUGACCUACAUUCAAGUAAAAUGCUACUUUUCAACUGCUCUUAAAUCUGUUUUCAGCUUUAUUCUAGAAAGCGUAUCGCAGUUCCUGCAAUCCUUGACUGCUGGAACACAUCUGCUACUUUAGUUUCUAAAAGGCUGUGAUUGCAGAAUUCUAGACACUUGGCAGAAAUGUCUGUGUUAAAUGGUGAAAACAUUCGUAAUCUAGAGAACAGCCAUAUUUGUUACAGCCUUGGAAGAGCUACUAAACACAGAGAAAUUAUUUGCAAUUAAGAUCAAGUAGCUGUCUUGACACUUUAAUUACAGUACACAUUUUGUUUUUCCUUUUGUGAUCAAUUGCACAUUUUUCCUUCUUUUUUUCCUCCCGUCCUCUUUACUGAGACCUUUUCAUUUAAUCUGUUUUCUUUGAAUGCUUUGUGUUCAUUCCAUUUCAUGUUUCCAUUUUUAACAUCUGUUAGUCCAUAUUCUGAGGAAAAAAAAAAAAAGCACCAUAUUUAUCUCUAUAUUUCAAAGAUCUAUCUAGAAAAAUUACUUUUCCAUGUUUUAGGUUAAGCCUGAAUGAACUAUUUCCUCUGAUAUUAAAAUUUCUGACUCACAUUUUUUUGGACAUGCUUUGUAUGACUCUUCAGACUCAUGCUGAGUUUAUUACCAUUCACAGAUAUUCCAUAUUUAAUCUUAAUCCUUCCAUCCUUUGGAAAUGGAAAACUUAUACAAAAUCAUAGAGCAAAAUAAUUAUUCAGAUGUGACUGAAACGCAAGGAUCCAAGGUUGCUACCUUUUAUAACUGUCCUGUGGAUCUUGUCGUAACAAGUAGAUCUUUAAAAGUCCCUGCUUUCAGGUCUUGUAAAUACCCGUCAACAUAGAUCCAUGACACUCUGAGUGCUCAGAGUGUACUCGCCUUGAAAACAGAAGCAAAAGAUACAAAACACUCAACUGUGCUUUCUAUUGCAUUUCUUAAUUCUUUUUGAACCACUUGUACUAUUUUAGGGUGUCUGACAGACAGCAUUUUGACACUGUGUGUGUGACGAUUCUGAUUGCAGUUCCUUUUACUGUCCGGACCUUCAGUACUGAGGACCCACUGGUUUUGCCAAUUCUUUCAGUUGGAAGAAUCAAGACAAAUUAUCAGUCUUGAAUAUUUUCUGUUUGAGCUUUGUGAUAGCAUUUUACUGCAGAUUUCUUAAUAUGAGUGGGGCUUUUUUAAUGCUUGAUGAUUUAUGAAGCCACAAAGCCAUUCAGCACAAACAUUUUCAAGCAUCAUAGCAACAUAUAACCUAAUUAGUACAUUUGAGGGCAGUGAAAACUGCAAAAGAAGCAGACAUCAGUCACUAAAGCAAUGGAUUGAUUUUUCAGUGUGCAUUUGAAGUACUUUUAUCAAUACAAUGCGUUAGUGCUUUUGGGCUAUGUCAUUCUCCAGUCUGCUCUUUGCUGGGUAAAUGUCAAUAGAAAGCAUAAUAACCAAACUUAACGCUUUUCAUCAACUGUAAGUAACAUGCUACUAUCACUGUGUGUUCUUCGGCGGUCAAGGGACUACAGACAAGCAGGAGGAACUGGAAAAUGUCAGUGAUACAGUGACAUGGGUUAUAUCAAGUAACUAAUUUACCCUUCUUGUACUUUUUUUAGUCCUUUUGAUUUCCCCUUCCUUCUCUCCUUUCCAGAAGGGACAGGGAGAUAGACACACCCAGCGUAUACAGAGCUUUUCCUUGCUCUUCAAACUGGAAAAUGCUUGAAUAAACAGUUCUUGAUUCAAAUAAUUUGGUAAUGUUCCCCAGUGCCAAUGUGAGGCUAAGUUUAACCAAAUCUAAACAGGAACUGAAACAUCUAAAAUAGAAUUCUGCAAUAUAUGAAUCACCUAAUUCAAACAUCCUUCUGUGUUAAAGUUCAAGAUAAUGGGGUUUCUUUAUAUAUUAAAACUAGAAAAGUUAUCAUGGGGGAAAGCCAGAUUCAUGGCCUUCUGUAGAGCAUAAACGUUCAUGCUUUGUUUUGCUUAAAUGCACCAUCAAUAAAAACACAGAUGAGGGUCUUCCAGUGGUAUCCAUAGUUUCUUUCAUGCCCUUGGGGUGCCAAAAAGUUAUCUCAGGUGAGGAUCACGUAAUCUGUUAGCCAGAACCCUGCUCCAGGUAGAUGUGAAAAAGGCUGACCCAAAAUUGGGAUAGUACAUGAGAUAGAAAUUUUUCAUUAAGUUAAAUGUACGGCUUCAGACAGACACAAGAUGAAUGAACAGUCUGAUAAAAAUCUUUAAAUCAAACUGAAAUAAAUAAGGAACAGACUUCGUGACACAGAACUUUGAAAAUUAGUCUUAAUCACUAAGAAUUUUCCUACCAAACUAUGAUUUUCUCGUUAUGAGAAAAUAGUAACUUUUCAAAAUCAUGAAGAAAUAUUUUUAUAUGCCAUGAGGUGGGCUUUAAAAUAGAAAAUAAUUUUAUAAAUUAUUUGUAAGUCUAUGAAUUAUAAAAGCGUGUAGUUCCUUUCUAUAAAUAAAAUAAAAUAAAAUAAAAUGCAAUAAAGCAAAACCCACAGACUUAAUGAAUGAAGACCUAGAUUAUAAAUGUUACUUAGCAUAGCCUAGCAAUACUCAAAGCACAUUAUUUCCUGACUGGCUGAGCCAAAGGAUUAUCGUCAAGAGAAUGUUUUCCCUUUUAGUAGAGUUUAAGUAGUGAAAAUAAUAUUUAGAACAACCUUAUGCACAACAGAGCAAGAUGACUUUUGCUUGGUAACUGUUUAGCUAAGCUCAACUGCUCUGGGCUUCACUUUGAAGUAAGGCCAUCAGACCUCACCAGGGACAUCUGCGGUACUCAACAGACCCUGAGAAAGCUUUGAGCUAGCUUAAACUUUAACUUUUAGUAGAAAUGGAAGCUGUCUGGGGGGUCCUAGGUGAGAUUCUGUAUUAAUAAAUCCACAUAGAUCAAGCAGGUGGUGCUGCCUGUGAUGACCACUUUUGCUUUGUUUAUACCUACCUACUCAUGACUGUGG